rnacentral:rRNA from 1 species
UACGAACUGUGCGAACGUUAUUCGGAAUCACUGGGCUUAAAGGGUGCGUAGGCGGCUCGUCCAGUCAGGUGUGAAAGCCCCCGGCUCAACCGGGGAACAGCGCUUGAAACUAGCGGGCUUGAGUGAGGUAGGGGACCACGGAACUUCCGGUGGAGCGGUGAAAUGUGUAGAUAUCGGAAGGAACGCCGGUGGCGAAAGCGGUGGUCUGGGCCUUGUCUGACGCUGAGGCACGAAAGCCAGGGGAGUGAACGGG